GAAAAGGCGAUGCGAAGAAAAACCGGUACUUUUUCCUGUUAAAGAGAGCCGGGGCAGGUGAAAGCCGGUACAGGGAAGGCCGGGGGCCGUCUUCAAGCCGGAAAGCUGAAGUAGCAGUAAGCUUUCCCGGGAGACCGUUAUCCGAACGAAGGGGGCAGGAGUUUUCCUGCCAAGUUGGGUGGUACCGCGAGGAUAGACCCUCGUCCCAAUU
rnacentral:ncRNA from 1 species